CGCCAUCAUCAAGAGAAGGGCUGGCGCCCUCGCCAACCUGCCGUCCGGGCAAGGUGGUUUCCGCAACAGGGAUGCGGCCGGUCAGACCCUCUACCGAGGUUUUCCGGCAACGAAGCGGUUAAU
rnacentral:ncRNA from 18 species